rnacentral:lncRNA from 1 species
AAAAAUUGUUGCAAUUUGCUUACAGCCUGAAGGAACAGCAAUGAGGAGAAGAGCAAACUUGACUGUGCACAUCCCCAUAGCGCCAUCUCAUGGCAACUCUGCAGAGAAGAUGCCUGAGUAGCAGCGGCUAGAGGGGAGGAUGCCCACACUUCAGAUCAACUCUGUUGACCAGGAUGGGAACUCCAACCAGUUGCCAAGGGCAAGUGAAAAGAAACCAGGAGCUGAAAGCAACUCUAACACCUAUGGCACCCAGGUCCCUGGAUUCAUGGUGUCUAUUUAUAGACAGACCUAUUUGUGUGUGUGUUUCUGUCUCUGCAACUUCUACAGAUUGAAACAACUUCUCUCAUGAUUCAAGCAACACACCUAACCUCUCUGGAAACUUGGACAAAUCUCAUCCCUGAAAGGAGGAAGAGAAAGGAAAGUAAGUGACAAUUACUUUGAGAGGAGAGACACUACAUUUUUCUGCAGAUGGAUCAAAGACUGCAAAGAGGAGUGAACUUGACUCAAACCUAGAAGCCCUCAUUCCAUCACUGGCUUACUCUGAUUCUGACCAAGUCCCUUCAUCCAUCUGAACCUCUCUUUCCACCUGUCC